rnacentral:rRNA from 1 species
UACGUAGGUCCCGAGCGUUGUCCGGAUUUAUUGGGCGUAAAGCGAGCGCAGGUGGUUUAUUAAGUCUGGUGUAAAAGGCAGUGGCUCAACCAUUGUAUGCAUUGGAAACUGGUAGACUUGAGUGCAGGAGAGAAGAGUGGAAUUCCAUGUGUAGCGGUGAAAUGCGUAGAUAUAUGGAGGAACACCGGUGGCGAAAGCGGCUCUCUGGUCUGUAACUGACGCUGAGGUUCGAAAGCGUGGGUAGCAAACAGG